rnacentral:rRNA from 1 species
CCUACGGGCGGCUGCAGUCGAGAAUCAUUCACAAUGGGGGAAACCCUGAUGCUGCGACGCCGCGUGGGGGAAUGAAGUUCUUCGUAUUGUAAACCCCUGUCAUGUGGGAACAAAUUAAAAAGAUAGUACCACAAUAGGAAGAGACGGCUAACUCUGUUCCAGCAGCCGCGGUAAUACAGAGGUCUCAAGCGGUGUGCGGAAUCACUGGGCGGAAAGCGUUCGUAGGCUGUUUCGUAAGUCGUGUGUGAAAGGCGCGGGCUCAACCCGCGGACGGCACAUGAUACUGGGAGACUAGAGUAAUGGAGGGGGAACCGGAAUUCGCGGUGUAGCAGUGAAAUGCGUAGAUAUCGAGAGGAACACUCGUGGCGAAGGCGGGUUCCUGGACAUUAACUGACGCUGAGGCACGAAGGCCAGGGGAGCGAAAGGGAUUAGAUACCCUUGUAGUC